rnacentral:rRNA from 1 species
UUCCUACGGGACGCAGCAGUGGGGAAUAUUGGGCAAUGGGCGCAAGCCUUACCCAGCAAUACCGCGUGAGUGAAGAAGGUCUUCGGAUUGUAAAGCUCUUUGAUCAGGGACGAACAGAUGACGGUACCUGAAGAACAAGCCCCGGCUAACUACGUGCCAGCAGCCGCGGUAAUACGUAGGUGGCAAGCGUUGUCCGGAUUUACUGGGUGUAAAGGGCGUGUAGCCGGGUUGACAAGUCAGAUGUGAAAUCCUGCGGCUUAACCGCAGAGCUGCAUUUGAAACUGUUGAUCUUGAGUACUGGAGAG